rnacentral:tRNA from 1 species
GGGAGGGUAGUCUAGCUUGGUAUAAAAAUUAGAUACUAAUUUUUCUAAACUGAUUCCUGGUUUGGGACUAGGAGGUCGCGGGUUCAAAUCCCGUCCCUCCCA